UACGGGGGGUGCGAGCGUUGUCCGGAAUCACUGGGCGUAAAGGGCGCGUAGGUGGUCUGAUAAGGGUGUGGUGAAAGCCCGGGGCUCAACCCCGGGUCGGCCGUGCCGACUGUUAGACUAGAGUACUGUAGGGGCAGGCGGAAUUCCGGGUGUAGCGGUGGAAUGCGUAGAGAUCCGGAGGAAGACCAGUGGCGAAGGCGGCCUGCUGGGCAGUUACUGACACUGAGGCGCGACAGCGUGGGGAGCAAACAGG
rnacentral:rRNA from 1 species